AUUGAACGCUGGCGGCAUGCCUUACACAUGCAAGUCGAACGGUAACGCGGGGCAACCUGGCGACGAGUGGCGAACGGGUGAGUAAUGUAUCGGAACGUGCCCAGUUGUGGGGGAUAACUGCUCGAAAGAGCAGCUAAUACCGCAUACGACCUGAGGGUGAAAGCGGGGGAUCGCAAGACCUCGCGCAAUUGGAGCGGCCGAUAUCAGAUUAGGUAGUUGGUGGGGUAAAGGCUCACCAAGCCAACGAUCUGUAGCUGGUCUGAGAGGACGACCAGCCACACUGGGACUGAGACACGGCCCAGACUCCUACGGGAGGCAGCAGGGGGGAAUAUUGGACAAUGGGCGCAAGCCUGAUCCAGCCAUGCCGCGUGGAUGAUGAAGGCCUUAGGGUUGUAAAGUCCUUUUGGACGGGAACAAUACCCCCGAUGCGUCGGGGCUUGAGGGUACCGUCAGAAUAAGCACCGGCUAACUCCGUGCCAGCCGCCGCGGUAACAC
rnacentral:rRNA from 1 species